rnacentral:lncRNA from 1 species
AUGUCUGUUUCUGUGUACCCUAGAGCUUAUCACCAAAAAUCUCAUUUCCAUCCAUCACCGUAUCAGCCUGUUUACCCACUUCGCCCACCCCCUGCCCCUCCCCUCUGGUCACCCCCACUCUGCUCUUUGGGUCUGUGUGUUUGUUUUUGUUUGGUUUGUUCACUUUUUUAUAUUCCACAUGUGAGUGACAUUGUAUUUGUCUUUCAUUUAUUUCUUAUAUGGGUUUCCUUUCUAUCACUUACUGCUUUACCCUUGGGGAACUUCUCUACAUCCUCAAAUAAAAGGAAUCCAGCAUUCUGUAAUGCUGACCAGACUUAUCAGCUUAAACCACGUGGAUUUAAAUCUCUGGCUGCCACGGGAGAAGCAAAGAGGUGAGACUGUGGCUGCGCUCAGAAUCUGUGACCGUCACACUGCUCGAAAUCCCCCAUCCCUAGGAGCCCGAGGAAAGUCACUCUUAACUUUUAUUUCAGUUGAGGAAGGUGAAUAAUGAUACCUUCUUUACGGAUUAUGUUGUGGCCUGAUUAAAUAUUUCAAAAGUAUUUCUGUGAUCCCCAGAUAAAAGACACUGAGUAAAGCCUGAAC